rnacentral:rRNA from 1 species
UCUAUCAUGCAGUCGUACGCUUCUUUUUCCACCGGAGCUUGCUCCACCGGAAAAAGAAGAGUGGCGAACGGGUGAGUAACACGUGGGUAACCUGCCCAUCAGAAGGGGAUAACACUUGGAAACAGGUGCUAAUACCGUAUAACAAUCGAAACCGCAUGGUUUUGAUUUGAAAGGCGCUUUCGGGUGUCGCUGAUGGAUGGACCCGCGGUGCAUUAGCUAGUUGGUGAGGUAACGGCUCACCAAGGCCACGAUGCAUAGCCGACCUGAGAGGGUGAUCGGCCACAUUGGGACUGAGACACGGCCCAAACUCCUACGGGAGGCAGCAGUAGGGAAUCUUCGGCAAUGGACGAAAGUCUGACCGAGCAACGCCGCGUGAGUGAAGAAGGUUUUCGGAUCGUAAAACUCUGUUGUUAGAGAAGAACAAGGAUGAGAGUAACUGUUCAUCCCUUGACGGUAUCUAACCAGAAAGCCACGGCUAACUACGUGCCAGCAGCCGCGGUAAUACGUAGGUGGCAAGCGUUGUCCGGAUUUAUUGGGCGUAAAGCGAGCGCAGGCGGUUUCUUAAGUCUGAUGUGAAAGCCCCCGGCUCAACCGGGGAGGGUCAUUGGA